GCCUGAUGCAGCGACGCCGCGUGGGGGAUGACGGCCUUCGGGUUGUAAACUCCUUUCAGCAGGGACGAAGCUUUUGUGACGGUACCUGCAGAAGAAGCACCGGCUAACUACGUGCCAGCAGCCGCGGUAAUACGUAGGGUGCGAGCGUUGUCCGGAAUUAUUGGGCGUAAAGAGCUUGUAGGCGGUUUGUCGCGUCUGCCGUGAAAGCCCAGGGCUUAACCCUGGGUCUGCGGUGGGUACGGGCAGGCUAGAGUGUGGUAGGGGAGACUGGAAUUCCUGGUGUAGCGGUGAAAUGCGCAGAUAUCAGGAGGAACACCGAUGGCGAAGGCAGGUCUCUGGGCCAUAACUGACGCUGAGAAGCGAAAGCAUGGGGAGCGAACAGGAUUAGAUACCCUGGUAGUCCAUGCCGUAAACGUUGGGCGCUAGGUGUGGGACUCAUUCCACGAGUUCCGUGCCGCAGCUAACGCAUUAAGCGCCCCGCCUGGGGAGUACGGCCGCAAGGCUAAAACUC
rnacentral:rRNA from 1 species